GAUGAACGCUGGCGGCGUGCCUAAUACAUGCAAGUCGAGCGAAUGGAUUAAGAGCUUGCUCUUAUGAAGUUAGCGGCGGACGGGUGAGUAACACGUGGGUAACCUGCCCAUAAGACUGGGAUAACUCCGGGAAACCGGGGCUAAUACCGGAUAACAUUUUGAACCGCAUGGUUCGAAAUUGAAAGGCGGCUUCGGCUGUCACUUAUGGAUGGACCCGCGUCGCAUUAGCUAGUUGGUGAGGUAACGGCUCACCAAGGCAACGAUGCGUAGCCGACCUGAGAGGGGGAUCGGCCACACUGGGGCUGAGACACGGGCCAGACUCCUACGGGAGGCAGCAGUAGGGAAUCUUCCGCAAUGGACGAAAGUCUGACGGAGCAACGCCGCGUGAGUGAUGAAGGCUUUCGGGUCGUAAAACUCUGUUGUUAGGGAAGAACAAGUGCUAGUUGAAUAAGCUGGCACCUUGACGGUACCUAACCAGAAAGCCACGGCUAACUACGUGCCAGCCGCCGCAGUAA
rnacentral:rRNA from 1 species